rnacentral:rRNA from 1 species
AUGCAGCCCGGAGGAGGCUACGCGCCCCGUCCCGGCACGGCCCCAUACGGCGCGUACUACGUCCACGGCGGCGCCUGCUUCCGCGACGGGAGCAACAUGGCUAGCGCUCCGCCCUACCGCCAGCCGCCGCCACAGCAGCAGCAGCAGCAGAUGACGCCACAGAGGAGGGAGGCGGUGCUCAUGGAGGCCGGCCGCCUCGCCGCGGAGCACCUGGUGGCCAUAGGCGAGCUGCCCCCGCACGUGCUGCAGCACCAGCACCGCCCGCCGGCGCCGCCCACGUUCCAACUAGGACCAUUUGCAUUACCCCGGCCACGGCCGUUCCAGGAACGCCCGCUCGCGAGGCAGCGCUUCGGGUUUCUGCCGCCGGUUUCGCGCGACCUGGGACGUCCGUUCCAAGGCCGGGCCAUCGCCAAGCGGCCCCGCCCGUUCCAGGGGCGCCAGCCACCGUUGCAUCCAGGACGGCUCCUGACGCAGGCCGCUUUGAAUGAUGCGCCGGCGGGGGAUGGGAGCGCCAGCCAGCCGGUGUCGCAGUCGGGUGACACGGAUCAGAGCUCCCAGAUGAACCAACGCAAUGCCCAGAUGGUAUUCUAG